AAUGCAUAUCCUCCGUCUCAUUCCUUGGAGAAUAAUAAAACUGAAACACUGAGAUCCAAAGCCUCCAAUUUCCAUCAUCACCGAUUAGCUUCUACGACUGCAAGAUGAAUCUGAUUAAUGCGGUUAUGGCCACCAGGAUGUUGACGAUGCUUGGCCACUCUAACGGCGUCGGAGAAGGUAUUCAUUUUGGUUCCAUCUGGUGGUUCAUUUACGCUGCCAUCUCCUGCAUACUCGUCCUCUUUGCCGGUAUCAUGUCCGGUCUCACUCUCGGUCUCAUGUCCCUCGGCCUCGUCGACCUUGAAAUUCUCCAACGCAGUGGCACCUCCUCUGAGAAGAAACAAGCAGCUGCUAUUCUUCCCGUGGUUCAAAAGCAGCACCAACUUCUAGUGACUUUGCUUCUGUGUAAUGCUGCUUCCAUGGAGGCUCUUCCUAUUUACCUGGAUAAGCUUUUCAAUCAGUAUGUUGCUAUAAUACUCUCUGUGACAUUUGUUCUCUUUUUUGGGGAGGUUAUUCCACAAGCAAUAUGCUCCAGAUAUGGGCUUGCAGUAGGUGCCAACUUUGUAUGGCUUGUGCGAAUUUUGAUGAUUAUUUGCUAUCCAAUAGCUUAUCCAAUUGGGAAGAUUCUGGACUGGGUUCUGGGGCAUAAUGAAGCAUUAUUUAGGCGAGCUCAGUUAAAAGCUCUUGUUUCCAUCCACGGUCAGGAGGCUGGCAAGGGAGGUGAGCUCACGCAUGAUGAGACAACAAUUAUUAGCGGAGCACUGGAUUUAACUGAAAAGACUGCUGAAGAGGCUAUGACGCCUAUUGAAUCAACUUUCUCACUAGAUGUCAACUCCAAGCUGGAUUGGGAGGCAAUGGGAAAAGUUCUUGCUCGAGGGCAUAGCCGAGUUCCUGUGUAUUCUGGGAAUCCAAAAAAUAUUAUAGGACUUCUUCUGGUGAAAAGCCUUCUCACUGUACGACCUGAGACAGAGACCCCAGUCAGUGCUGUUUCAAUUCGGAGAAUUCCACGGGUUCCAUCUGAUAUGCCUCUGUAUGAUAUACUGAAUGAGUUUCAAAAGGGCAGCAGUCAUAUGGCAGCUGUUGUGAAGUCUAAAACUAAAACCAAGGUACCUUUAUCAACAGGAGAAAAAGUUGAAGAAAACAAAGCAAAUUGUGGGGAUUCUCACUUGACAACUCCUUUACUAGCUAAGCAACAAGAGAAAUCAGAUAGUGUAGUCGUUGAUAUCAAUAGGGUUUCAAGGCCAUCCAAUAUAAAUAAGCAAAUCACUUCACAAUGUAAUGAUGCAGCAACCAAUGGUUUGCCCCAAACAUCGGAGUACAUUGAAGAUGGUGAAGUUAUUGGUAUCAUCACACUGGAAGAUGUAUUUGAAGAACUUCUGCAGGAGGAAAUUGUGGACGAAACAGAUGAAUAUGUAGAUGUACAUAGAAGAAUCCGUGUGGCUGCAGCUGCAGCUGCUUCAUCAGUGGCACGAGCUCCAUCAAGUCGGAGGUUGACAGUAAACAAAGGAGCUGGAGGUCAAAGCAAGCCAGGGCAAACCCCCAGGAAAUCUGAGAAUGAUUCGAGUACCCCAAGGUUACUAGGGGCUGCUGGUGAGCCUUUUUCUGCAAACAAGAGAUGAGAAAGGAUAUACAGUUGUGUACUUUGCAACAGUUCUGAGAAGAGAGAUACCCAGACAAAUCUCGCAGCACUACCGGGCAAGAGCACCGGAACCGGGCAAGGGCAACCCAGAGCCAGACAGGGAGAGAUUAGAUCAACAGUAGAGAGCACGGAUGCAGGAGAUCCCAUUUAAACCCCCACCCCCCCAAUUUUUUGGGGUAGGGAAGCAUUAUUUCCAAAGCUUGUUCAGAGGUGAUUUAAUCCACAACAGAACCAAGCACGUGAUGUAUUAAGUUCACCUGCAAAUUUCUGGUGGCAUACCACGUGCAACUACUCCGGCUCUCUUUGGUCUGAUUACUGGGAACUGAAGUGGUAGUCCCCUGCCAGGCUGCUACGUUAAACUGCAGUGGCCCUACUCGGUACUGCGCCCGCCUAGUCACUACAACUGUGGUUCUUUUGGGGUCACUGUUAGUUAUGAGUGAUCAAACUUGCUUUUGGAACCCUCCAUAACCAAACAGAAUUCCACUCUAUAUUUGUUCAUCAUAAGCCUAAAAUUAUGAGAUAGAUUGGUUACGGUGUGUCUCUGUGUAACAAAUGGAUAAAAAAAGGCACAGAAACUUCUUUUAUUACUGUUCCUCUUACAACACUUAUGUAUACUUCUUGGCUAUGCCAGCCUCAGUCAUCUUUACAUAUGAUCUGUUGCUUAUCACCCUCACCUCACCAUGCAACCUUGGACCUGAAACUAUGACACAAAAUCCCUCAGGACUCAAGAUUGAACAGCUCUGUAUCCAGAUACUACGACCAUCUACUUUCAUACUCACUUGUACUUAUCAUCCCAGCUCAGAAGAAUCACCGUGCACCUCCAUAUGAUAUAGAGACGCGUUCUUUGCUCCUUAACAAGCCUUGAACACCUUCGCCAUGAUCGGAGUUUUGGGAAUCGCAUAGAUGGAGAUUGUCUUGUCAUGUUGGUUUCCAUGUAGAGAAAAGACUCCGUAGAUUUGCUUAUAUGUAACUCUUUUCUGAGUAAUUGUCAAGGUGGCUAAUUAUGAUUUUUUUUUUGGAUUAAUAAGGAACUGAGGAAGCUUUUCUUUUCAUGGCCUCAUAUAGAAUAAAGCUUGUUCAAAGAAAUGCGUGGAAGACAGUAAUUGGGUGUCCUGCUGGUUGGUCCCUGAUUUGGUUGACAUGGCAGGGAAGGUCCCAUUGAAU